ACUGCAGGCUGCAACCCGCCUGCACGAAGUUGGAAUCGCUAGUAAUCGCGGAUCAGAAUGCCGCGGUGAAUACGUUCCCGGGUCUUGUACACACCGCCCGUCACACCAUGGGAGUCGGAAAUGCCCGAAGUCUGUGACCCAACCUUAGGGAGGGAGCAGCCGAAGGCAGGUCGGAUGACUGGGGUGAAGUCGUAACAAGGUACC
rnacentral:rRNA from 1 species